rnacentral:rRNA from 1 species
UACAGAGGUGGCAAGCGUUGUUCGGAAUUACUGGGCGUAAAGCGCGCGUAGGCGGCUUUGUACGUUAGAGGUGAAAGCCCGGAGCUCAACUCCGGAACUGCCUUUAAGACUGCAUCGCUAGAAUUGUGGAGAGGUGAGUGGAAUUCCGAGUGUAGAGGUGAAAUUCGUAGAUAUUCGGAAGAACACCAGUGGCGAAGGCGACUCACUGGACACAUAUUGACGCUGAGGUGCGAAAGCGUGGGGAGCAAACAGG